AGAGCCCUUUGCCAAUGGCAUCGUGAGGGGAGCUGGCUACAAUGUUGGACAAUCAGUGACCUUCGAGUGCCUCCCAGGGUAUCAACUGAUUGGCCACCCCGUCCUCACAUGUCAGCAUGGCACCAACCGGAACUGGGACCACCCCCUGCCCAGGUGUGAAGUCCCCUGUGGUGGGAACAUCACCUCUUCCAAUGGUACUGUGUACUCCCCUGGCUUCCCCAGUCCAUACUCCAGCUCCCAGGACUGUGUCUGGCUGAUCACCGUGCCCAUUGGUCAUGGCAUCCGGCUCAACAUCAGCCUGCUGCAGACAGAGCCCUCCGGAGACUUCAUCACCGUCUGGGAUGGGGCCCAGCAGACAGCUCCACAGCUUGGAGUCUUCAGCCGGAGCUUGGCCAAGAAAACAUUGCACAGCUCGUCCAACCAGGUCCUGCUUAAGUUCCACCAUGAUGCAGCCAUGGGUGGGAUCUUCGCCAUUGC